rnacentral:rRNA from 1 species
CAGUCGCCGCGGUAAUACGUAGGUGGCAAGCGUUGUCCGGAAUUAUUGGGCGUAAAGCGCGCGCAGGCGGUUUCUUAAGUCUGAUGUGAAAGCCCUCGGCUUAACCGGGGAGGGUCAUUGGAAACUGGGAGACUUAGAGUGCAGAAGAGGAGAGUGGAAUUCCAUGUGUAGCGGUGAAAUGCGUAGAUAUAUGGAGGAACACCAGUGGCGAAGGCGACUCUCUGGUCUGUAACUGACGCUGAGGCGCGAAAGCGUGGGGAGCAAACAGGAUUAGAGACCCCUGUAGUCCCUGUCUCUUAUA